rnacentral:rRNA from 1 species
AGAGUUUGAUCAUGGCUCAGAUUGAACGCUGGCGGCAGGCCUAACACAUGCAAGUCGAACGGUAACAGGAAGAAGCUUGCUUCUUUGCUGACGAGUGGCGGACGGGUGAGUAAUGUCUGGGAAACUGCCUGAUGGAGGGGGAUAACUACUGGAAACGGUAGCUAAUACCGCAUAACGUCGCAAGACCAAAGAGGGGGACCUUCGGGCCUCUUGCCAUCGGAUGUGCCCAGAUGGGAUUAGCUAGUAGGUGGGGUAACGGCUCACCUAGGCGACGAUCCCUAGCUGGUCUGAGAGGAUGACCAGCCACACUGGAACUGAGACACGGUCCAGACUCCUACGGGAGGCAGCAGUGGGGAAUAUUGCACAAUGGGCGCAAGCCUGAUGCAGCGACGCCGCGUGCGGGAUGACGGCCUUCGGGUUGUAAACCGCUUUUGAUCGGGAGCAAGCCUUCGGGUGAGUGUACCUUUCGAAUAAGCACCGGCUAACUACGUGCCAGCAGCCGCGGUAAUACGUAGGGUGCAAGCGUUAUCCGGAAUUAUUGGGCGUAAAGGGCUCGUAGGCGGUUCGUCGCGUCCGGUGUGAAAGUCCAUCGCUUAACGGUGGAUCUGCGCCGGGUACGGGCGGGCUGGAGUGCGGUAGGGGAGACUGGAAUUCCCGGUGUAACGGUGGAAUGUGUAGAUAUCGGGAAGAACACCAAUGGCGAAGGCAGGUCUCUGGGCCGUUACUGACGCUGAGGAGCGAAAGCGUGGGGAGCGAACAGGAUUAGAUACCCUGGUAGUCCACGCCGUAAACGGUGGAUGCUGGAUGUGGGGCCCGUUCCACGGGUUCCGUGUCGGAGCUAACGCGUUAAGCAUCCCGCCUGGGGAGUACGGCCGCAAGGCUAAAACUCAAAGAAAUUGACGGGGGCCCGCACAAGCGGCGGAGCAUGCGGAUUAAUUCGAUGCAACGCGAAGAACCUUACCUGGGCUUGACAUGUUCCCGACAGCCGUAGAGAUAUGGCCUCCCUUCGGGGCGGGUUCACAGGUGGUGCAUGGUCGUCGUCAGCUCGUGUCGUGAGAUGUUGGGUUAAGUCCCGCAACGAGCGCAACCCUCGCCCUGUGUUGCCAGCACGUCAUGGUGGGAACUCACGGGGGACCGCCGGGGUCAACUCGGAGGAAGGUGGGGAUGACGUCAGAUCAUCAUGCCCCUUACGUCCAGGGCUUCACGCAUGCUACAAUGGCCGGUACAACGGGAUGCGACACGGCGACGUGGAGCGGAUCCCUGAAAACCGGUCUCAGUUCGGAUUGGAGUCUGCAACCCGACUCCAUGAAGGCGGAGUCGCUAGUAAUCGCGGAUCAGCAACGCCGCGGUGAAUGCGUUCCCGGGCCUUGUACACACCGCCCGUCAAGUCAUGAAAGUGGGUAGCACCCGAAGCCGGUGGCCUAACCCUUUGUGGAUGGAGCCGUCUAAGGUGAGACUCGUGAUUGGGACUAAGUCGUAACAAGGUAGCCGUACCGGAAGGUGCGGCUG